ensembl:snRNA U6 U6 spliceosomal RNA
GGAUCACUUUGGCAAUACAUAUACUAAAACGAAACAAUGCAGAGAAGAUUAGCAUGGCCCCUGCACAAGAUGAUACAAAAAUUCUUGAGAUAUUCAAUAUUUUU